rnacentral:rRNA from 1 species
GACGAACGCUGGCGGCGUGCUUAACACAUGCAAGUCGAACGAUGAACCUUCCAUGAUCUAUUCGUAGAGAUUGGAAGCGGAUUAGUGGCGAACGGGUGAGUAACGCGUGAGCAACCUGCCUUAAACAACGGGAUAGCCUCGGGAAACCGGGAUUAAUACCGUAUGAGACCCCGCCUUCCCAUGAAGAAGAGGUUAAAGAUUUAUCGGUUUAAGAUGGGCUCGCGUCUGAUUAGCUAGUUGGUGAGAUAAAAGCCCACCAAGGCAACGAUCAGUAACCGGCUUGAGAGAGUGAACGGUCACAUUGGAACUGAGACACGGUCCAAACUCCUACGGGAGGCAGCAGUGGGGAAUAUUGCACAAUGGGGGAAACCCUGAUGCAGCGACGCCGCGUGAGCGAUGAAGGAAUUCGUUUCGUAAAGCUCUGUCCAAGGGGAAGAUAAUGACAGUACCCUUGGAGGAAGCCCCGGCUAAAUACGUGCCAGCCGCCGCAGUAAAAC